GAGGGCAUAGCUCAGUGGAAGAGUGUGCACUUAGCAUGCACAAGGUCCUGGGUUCAAUCCCCAGUACCUCCA
rnacentral:tRNA from 1 species